AGACAUUAUGACUGAUAAUCUAAAUCCUAACGGAGAAAAUGAACGGGAUGUUUUACUUCCAGAACCAGACUGUUGAGCUGUGUUCAAGCUUCAGGCA